AUGACACCAGGACCCCCAAAAACUGGGACCCCCAAAGUGGGACCACCAAAGCGGGACUUCCAAACUGGGAUCCCCCCCAAAUUUGGGACAAUGACACCAGGACCCCCAAAGCGGGACCCCAACCUGGGACCCCCAACCUGGGACCCCCGAUGGCGGCGGCCGCCCUCGUGCCAUUGGCUGCUCACCCUGUGGGUCUCGGAAGGUGACGACGGCGGCCCCAUCGCGGCGCAGCCUCACGGCGCCCACUUUGCCGCCGGCGCUGCGGCGGUUCUCGAAGUAGAGCUCCAGGAGGUCGCGCGGCGCCGCCGGCGGCAGCACCAAAACGGCGCCGGACUGCGGCAGGCGCUGCAGCACCGCGGCUCCCGGCAGCGCCGAGCGCAGCUGCUGCAGCUCUGCGGGAAACGGGGGCACGGAUGGAGAUGGGGCUACCAGCCCAGCUGUGGGGCUACCAGCCCAGCUGUGGGGCAACCAACACAGCUAUGGGGCAACCAACUCAUCUAUGGGGCACAGAGACCAUCUAUGGGGCACCCAACCCAUCUAUGGGGCUAUCAACCCACCUAUGGGCAACUAGCCCAGCUAUGGGGCAACCAGCCCAGCUAUGGGGCACCCAAUCCAUCAAUGGGGCAACCAACCAUCUAUGGGGCAACCAAUCCAUCUAUGGGGCAACCAGCCCAGCUAUGGGGCACCCAACCCAGCUAUGGGGCACCCAGUGCUGAUAUAUGGGGCAACCAACCCAUCUAUGGGGCACACAGCCCAUCUAUGGGGAUCUGUGCCCCAAUUCAUCUAUGGGGCAACCAACGCAGCUAUCGGGCAACUAACCCAUCUAUGGGGCACAGAGACCAUUUAUGGGGCACCCAACCCAUCUAUGGGGCACCCAACCCAUCUAUGGGGCUACCAACCCAGCUGUGGGACAACCAAUUCAUCUAUGGGGCAAGCAACCCAGCUAUGGGGCAAGCAACCCAGCUAUGGGGCACCCAAUCCAUCAAUGGGGCAACCAACCAUCUAUGGGGCAACCAAUCCAUCAAUGGGGUAACCAAUCCAUUUAUGGGGCACAGAGACCAUCUAUGGGGCAACCAAACCAGCUAUGGGGCAACCAGCCCAGCUGUGGGGCAACCAAUCCAUCUAUGGUGCAACCAGCCCAGUUAUGGGGCAACCAACCAAGCUGUGGGGCAAACAGCCCAUCUAUGGGGCACACAGACCAUCUAUGGGGCAACCAGCCCACUAUGGGGCACCCAGUGCCGAUCUAUGGGGCGCCCAAAGUCCUCUCUGUGGAAACCAACUCCACCUAUGGGGCGCACAGCCACAUCUAUGGGGCACCCAAUGGUGACCCAUGAGGACCCCAAAUACUGAGCGCCCAUCCUGACCCACGGGAACACGGCAUGGACCCCAAGCCCCGACCCAUAGGGACCCCACCCCAUAGGGACCCCAAACCCCGACCCAUAGGGGCCUCAUGAGGAGUCAGGAGCCGGACCCACAGAGACCCCAGA
rnacentral:lncRNA from 1 species